CCAACGCUAUGCAUGCAGUAAUUGCUUAAUAAAUACCACUGAUUGAAUAGCUAUCUUCAGCAGUGGCUUCCCAUUUUCCAAAAGCAAGAAGAAGGUAGAUAUUUAGUUGUUGGAUUCUUGUCUCAUCAGUGAUAUUUUCAUCAUUAUUUUCCCAGCUAGGACCUGGCCAUAGCUAAAAUGAAUCUAAAUGAAGAAACACAGAGAAUCAUUACUGAGGAAUUUCUAGACGAUGAUGAAUCACAUGUUAAAAAGUUGAAGAAGACUUUGAAAAUUCAGAGGCAAAAAA